rnacentral:rRNA from 1 species
UACAUUGAAGCCUAGCGAUAUGUAAGUUAGUGGCGGACGGGUGAGUAACGCGUGGGUAACCUGCCUUGUACUGGGGGACAACAGUUGGAAACGACUGCUAAUACCGCAUAAGCGCACAGCUUCGCAUGAAGCAGUGUGAAAAACUCCGGUGGUACAAGAUGGACCCGCGUCUGAUUAGCUGGUUGGUGAGGUAACGGCCCACCAAGGCGACGAUCAGUAGCCGGCCUGAGAGGGUGAACGGCCACAUUGGGACUGAGACACGGCCCAAACUCCUACGGGAGGCAGCAGUGGGGAAUAUUGCACAAUGGGGGAAACCCUGAUGCAGCAACGCCGCGUGAGUGAAGAAGUAUUUCGGUAUGUAAAGCUCUAUCAGCAGGAAAGAAAAUGACGGUACCUGACUAAGAAGCCCCGGCUAACUACGUGCCAGCAGCCGCGGUAAUACGUAGGGGGCAAGCGUUAUCCGGAUUUACUGGGUGUAAAGGGAGCGUAGACGGUUUUGCAAGUCUGAAGUGAAAGCCCGGGGCUUAACCCCGGGACUGCUUUGGAAACUGUAGAACUAGAGUGCAGGAGAGGUAAGUGGAAUUCCUAGUGUAGCGGUGAAAUGCGUAGAUAUUAGGAGGAACACCAGUGGCGAAGGCGGCUUACUGGACUGUAACUGACGUUGAGGCUCGAAAGCGUGGGGAGCAAACAGGAUUAGAUACCCUGGUAGUCCACGCCGUAAACGAUGAUUACUAGGUGU